rnacentral:rRNA from 1 species
UCGUGUCGUGAGAUGUUGGGUUAAGUCCCGCAACGAGCGCAACCCUUGUCAUUAAUUGCCAUCAUUUAGUUGGGCACUUUAAUGAGACUGCCGGUGACAAACCGGAGGAAGGUGGGGAUGACGUCAAGUCCUCAUGGCCCUUAUGGGUAGGGCUUCACACGUAAUACAAUGGCGCGUACAGAGGGUUGCCAACCCGCGAGGGGGAGCUAAUCUCAGAAAGCGCGUCGUAGUCCGGAUCGGAGUCUGCAACUCGACUCCGUGAAGUCGGAAUCGCUAGUAAUCGCGGAUCAGCAUGUCGCGGUGAAUACGUUCCCGGGUCUUGUACACACCGCCCG